CGUGAGGCAACCCAACACUGGAGCCUACCCGGCUCUUUGGUUUGGGCUAAUGGCAGACUCUGUGAGGGCUCACGCCAAGGAGUACUUCCCCAAACUUCUGCUGCCAGAGUCCUUGUCCCCAAGGUGAGCCAUAGCCACCCACUGCCUCUGCAGUAGACCCUCCAACAGUAGCAGGCAAACUCUUCCCCAG